rnacentral:sRNA from 1 species
CAAGACUGGGAAACUCAUCAAUAAUACUGAAAUACCGAGACAAGCUGACUUGACUGAUGGCGGGCCUCACCGGACGAAAGUCCGGUUGUCGACUUCACAGACGGCACGGAGGAUUACAAAGGUUUAGUAGCACUCAAAUCCUGUCAUUCGGAGUUUCAUCGCCGUCCUUUGGAGUGGC